UUAAGGAAAAAUCAUGUUCAUUCAUAAUUUUCAUUUUAAAAGUGUAUUCAUUCCUUCUGCAAAUCCAUACUGUCAUGCCUAUUCCCCAAUAUCGCCAACGCGGAUAGUUCGUUAGUCGAAAAUACUGAAUAAUUAAACAAACCAAAUGGCAUCACUGGUGGUUCUUUUUUCCACUCCGCUAAACUGUCAUCUCAAACAAAAACAAAUGGAUCAUACAACUGCUAUGAAUACAUUUGACUCGUUUGCUUCCAUCAAUCGGUAAGUGAGAAAGAUGAUUUCUCCCAUCACCACAGUGCGGAUUUCCACUUCUAUCGCAGCAGCCAACAACAUCCGUUUUCCUGCAGCAGUAACCUCCAACCCCUGUUGGCAAUGCCGGGGGACAGCAUCAACAGCAGCAGCAGCAGAAUUUGACCAUGGUAUGGUAUUGCGAAGAACUUUCCCCAUUAGAGGUUCCGUGCUUCGCGCACAUUCAAAAAUCCUCUUCAGACACGAAAACCCAACGACAAGGAGGUAUUUAUCAACUUGCUCAGCUGAAUUACCAUCCCGGAGGAACCCGAAUGCACUGAUUCCGUAGUAUAGUAGAAUGAAAAUAGGCGAGGUAAGCGAACGUAAUCGCAUGAAAUUUUAAUGUUCGCAUUUUUAUCCGGAUCAUACAACUGCUAUGAAUACAUCCGACUCAAUCAAUCGGCGAGUGAGAAAGAUGAUUUCCCUCAUCACCACAUUGCUUAUUUCCUCUUCUGUCACACCAGCCAACAGCAUCAGCUUUCCCGCAGCAGUAUCCUUUAAGUCCAGGGUGCUAUUCCGGGGAACAGCAUCAACAACAGCAGGACCUGGCCAUAGAUAGUAUUUCGAGCAAUUUUCCCCAUCGGAGAUCCCGUGCUUCACGCACAUUGAAGAAUCCUCCUCAGCCACAUAUCUGUGUCAUCAAGGGCAAGGAGGUAUUCAUCAAUGUAAUCAGUCGGAUUUGAAUCGUCAUUCCAGACAACCCGGAUGCACCGAUUCCAUUAUAUACCUUAUUUUUAUUAC